UGGGGAAUAUUGCACAAUGGGCGCAAGCCUGAUGCAGCCAUGCCGCGUGUGUGAAGAAGGCCUUCGGGUUGUAAAGCACUUUCAGCGGGGAGGAAGGCGAUAAGGUUAAUAACCUUGUCGAUUGACGUUACCCGCAGAAGAAGCACCGGCUAACUCCGUGCCAGCAGCCGCGGUAAUACGGAGGGUGCAAGCGUUAAUCGGAAUUACUGGGCGUAAAGCGCACGCAGGCGGUCUGUCAAGUCGGAUGUGAAAUCCCCGGGCUCAACCUGGGAACUGCAUCUGAUACUGGCAAGCUUGAGUCUCGUAGAGAGGGGUAGAAUUCCAGGUGUAGCGGUGAAAUGCGUAGAGAUCUGGAGGAAUACCGGUGGCGAAGGCGGCCCCCUGGACGAAGACUGACGCUCAGGUGCGAAAGCGUGGGGAGCAAACAGG
rnacentral:rRNA from 1 species